rnacentral:rRNA from 1 species
UGAGGAAUAUUGGACAAUGGGGGGAACCCUGAUCCAGCCAUGCCGCGUGUGUGAAGAAGGCCUUAUGGUUGUAAAGCACUUUAAGCGAGGAGGAGGGUACUGGUAUUAAUACUACCAGGUACUGGACGUUACUCGCAGAAUAAGCACCGGCUAACUCUGUGCCAGCAGCCGCGGUAAUACAGAGGGUGCGAGCGUUAAUCGGAUUUACUGGGCGUAAAGCGUGCGUAGGCGGCUGAUUAAGUCGGAUGUGAAAUCCCUGAGCUUAACUUAGGAAUUGCAUUCGAUACUGGUCAGCUAGAGUGUGGGAGAGGAUGGUAGAAUUCCAGGUGUAGCGGUGAAAUGCGUAGAGAUCUGGAGGAAUACCGAUGGCGAAGGCAGCCAUCUGGCCUAACACUGACGCUGAGGUACGAAAGCAUGGGGAGCAAACAGG